rnacentral:lncRNA from 1 species
CAGACUGUUCAGGUGAUAAGCAUAAGCAGGAAUCAGCCCUCCCCGAGGACUGGUGUCCAGACUGAGAUGUCCGUGUGCCCUCCGCUGCUUUGUCAAUGUUGGCACCACGUGGCUUUGGGGUGCAGGGCUGGACACCCCCACAGCCACCCUCCACUCCUGUUUCGGGGCUCUGGGGCUGCAGGCCGGCCGUUUGACAAAGCCAGAGCCCCUGGCCGCAGCCCGCAGUUCUCUCCAAGUACAGUUUCGGGGAGUUUUUCACAAUGAUUCAUCUCAUGCAGUUGAUUGUUUUAAAGACACGAGCCGUCGCCGGAGAUUCCCUCUGAUUCUUAACCUCAGUCUUGCCUGAGGCGAUUUGACAAUUCAGAGCACCGCUCACUGGGAGCCCCGGGAGAGCAUGGGGAACAUGUGUGCGCCACGUUCCCCUCUGCAGCCGUGGUCCCUGACCUUUAGGGGAAGGUCUUCAAAGUGUUCCCACAACCAGCCCGGCAACCCUGCUGGUGCAGCCACCUCGGGUCUGAGAUCCGGGGCCGGAGUAACCACGCAGGAUGGGAAAGGGCGUGGGACAGCGUCUGGGGCAGCUUCUCUGCUAAUUAGCAAGACGAGCCCGUGAGACCGCCUGACAGAUACACGCUUGACGUUUUUGAAUAAAA